UUUAUUCGCGAUCUCGUGGAUUUUUAACAAUUUUUUUUUUUAUCUACGCGCGACUUUUAGUUAUUGUAAUUUAGAAAUUAAGUCGAAUUUCGAUUAGAUUCGAUUAGAUUAAAUUAAUUAGAUUAAAUUAGAUGAUCCAGAGAAGAAUGAAGAAUUUUUUUUUAAUUUUGGCGAACCUAUUGGCGACCACGUGGAUUUUUAAUAAUUUUUAUAUACGCGCGAAUUUUAAUUAUUAUAGUUUAGAAAUUAAGUUAAAUUUCGAUUA